AGAGGGUUUGGACUCUAUCUCCCAUAAUGCUUAGCCGUAGCUCCGAGUGGCUAAGACUUCUGGGAGUUGAAGUUCCAACCCCCU
ensembl:miRNA aca-mir-5408a aca-mir-5408a